rnacentral:rRNA from 1 species
UACGGAGGGGGCUAGCGUUGUUCGGAAUUACUGGGCGUAAAGCGCGCGUAGGCGGAUCUGCAAGUCGGGGGUGAAAUCCCGAGGCUCAACCUCGGAACUGCCUUCGAUACUGCGGGUCUCGAGUCCGGGAGAGGUGAGUGGAAUUCCUAGUGUAGAGGUGAAAUUCGUAGAUAUUAGGAAGAACACCAGUGGCGAAGGCGGCUCACUGGCCCGGUACUGACGCUGAGGCGCGAAAGCGGUGGG